AUACGUAGGGUGCGAGCGUUAAUCGGAAUUACUGGGCGUAAAGCGUGCGCAGGCGGUUUUGUAAGACAGUGGUGAAAUCCCCCGGCUCAACCUGGGAACUGCCAUUGUGACUGUAAGGCUGGAGUGCGGCAGAGGGGGCUGGAAUUCCGCGUGUAGCCGUGGAAUGCGUAGAUAUGCGGAGGAACACCGAUGGCGAAGGCAAUCCCCUGGGCCUGCACUGACGCUCAUGCACGAAAGCGUGGGGAGCAAACAGGAUUAGAUACCCUGGUAGUCCACGCCCUAAACGAUGUCAACUGAUUGUUGGGAAUUUAUUUUCUCAGUAACGAAGCUAACGCGUGAAGUUGUCCGCCUGGGGAGUACGGCCGCAAGGUUAAAACUCAAAUGAAUUGGCGGGG
rnacentral:rRNA from 1 species